AUUGAACGCUGGCGGCAGGCUUAACACAUGCAAGUCGAGCGGUAGCACAGGGGAGCUUGCUCCCUGGGUGACGAGCGGCGGACGGGUGAGUAAUGUCUGGGAAACUGCCUGAUGGAGGGGGAUAACUACUGGAAACGGUAGCUAAUACCGCAUAACGUCGCAAGACCAAAGAGGGGGACCUUCGGGCCUCUUGCCAUCAGAUGUGCCCAGAUGGGAUUAGCUAGUAGGUGGGGCAAUGGCUCACCUAGGCGACGAUCCCUAGCUGGUCUGAGAGGAUGACCAGCCACACUGGAACUGAGACACGGUCCAGACUCCUACGGGAGGCAGCAGUGGGGAAUAUUGCACAAUGGGCGCAAGCCUGAUGCAGCCAUGCCGCGUGUGUGAAGAAGGCCUUCGGGUUGUAAAGCACUUUCAGCGAGGAGGAAGGUGGUGAGCUUAAUACGUUCAUCAAUUGACGUUACUCGCAGAAGAAGCACCGGCUAACUCCGUG
rnacentral:rRNA from 1 species